rnacentral:misc_RNA from 1 species
GCUGAGAAGCUGGCCUAGAGGCUGAUAAACUGCACUUGGGCAUCAUUGUUCUUGUCCUGAAGAUUCUAGAGCAAGUAAUUGUCACUCCGGGAAAGUGGUUCCCGUGAAAAUCUGACCGCGAAAAACCUAACCCUUUCACUUUUGGGCUUAUGCCUCUCAUGAGAGUGAGGUUCUCAGCUCCACUAAGCAUUGAGGAAGCCAUGAAUGGAUGAACCAAAGAUUACCCACCAAGGAGAACAAGUGAAUUUGAAGAUUUCAAAGGAAACCCACUUGCAGACACCAGCUUAUUAAUCGGCAGUGGCGGUGGUUUG